AGAGUUUGAUCCUGGCUCAGGACGAACGCUGGCGGCAUGCCUAAUACAUGCAAGUCGAGCGAACUAGAGGUUAGAGAUUAGAGGCUAGAGGUUAGAUUGAGGGUAGACUCCUUCGGUCCAACUUCUAAUUUCCAACCUCUAACUUCUAGUUAGCGGCGGACGGGUGAGUAACGCGUGGGCAACCUGCCCCAAAGCUCGGGAUAACACUCCGAAAGGAGUGCUAAUACCGGAUGUAGUUGCGGUACUGCAUGGUACUGCAAAAAAAGGAGAAAUCCACUUUGGGAUGGGCCCGCGUCUGAUUAGCUAGUUGGUGGGGUAACGGCCUACCAAGGCGACGAUCAGUAGCCGACCUGAGAGGGUGAUCGGCCACACUGGGACUGAGACACGGCCCAGACUCCUACGGGAGGCAGCAGUCGGGAAUAUUGGUCAAUGGGGGAAACCCUGAACCAGCAAUGCCGCGUGAGUGAUGAAGGUUUUCGGAUCGUAAAGCUCUGUCUUUGGGGACGAAUAAAUGACGGUACCCGAGGAGGAAGCCCCGGCUAACUACGUGCCAGCAGCCGCGGUAAUACGUAGGGGGCGAGCGUUGUCCGGAAUUACUGGGCGUAAAGGGCGAGUAGGCGGUUUAAUAAGUCAGAUGUGAAAUGCCAGGGCUCAACCCUGGAACUGCAUUUGAAACUAUUAGACUUGAGUGCAGGAGAGGAAAGUGGAAUUCCCAGUGUAGCGGUGAAAUGCGUAGAUAUUGGGAGGAACACCAGUGGCGAAGGCGACUUUCUGGACUGUAACUGACGCUGAGGCGCGAAAGCGUGGGGAGCAAACAGGAUUAGAUACCCUGGUAGUCCACGCCGUAAACGAUGAGUGCUAGGUGUAGAGGGUAUCGACCCCUUCUGUGCCGGAGUUAACACAAUAAGCACUCCGCCUGGGGAGUACGGUCGCAAGACUGAAACUCAAAGGAAUUGACGGGGGCCCGCACAAGCAGCGGAGCAUGUGGUUUAAUUCGA
rnacentral:rRNA from 1 species